GAUGAACGCUAGCUACAGGCUUAACACAUGCAAGUCGAGGGGAAACGGCAUCGAAAGCUUGCUUUUGAUGGGCGUCGACCGGCGCACGGGGGAGUAACGCGUAUCCAACCUGCCCAUCACUUGGGAAUAACCUUGCGAAAGUAAGACUAAUGCCCAAUGACAUCCCACGAAGGCAUCCGAAUGGGAUUAAAGAUUUAUCGGUGAUGGAUGGGGAUGCGUCUGAUUAGCUUGUUGGCGGGGUGACGGCCCACCAAGGCAACGAUCAGUAGGGGUUCUGAGAGGAAGGUCCCCCACAUUGGAACUGAGACACGGUCCAAACUCCUACGGGAGGCAGCAGUGAGGAAUCUUGGUCAAUGGGCGGGAGCCUGAACCAGCCAAGGAGCGUGCAGGAUGACGGCCCUAUGGGUUGUAAACUGCUUUUAUAAGGGAAUAAAGUGGGUCACGUGUGACUUUUGGCAUGUACCUUAGGAAUAAGGACCGGCUAAUUCCGU
rnacentral:rRNA from 1 species